rnacentral:rRNA from 1 species
GGCGAAAUUGUAGUGCAAGUGAAGAUGCUUGCUACCCGCGAUUGGACGGAAAGACCCCGUAGAGCUUUACUGUAGCUUAGCAUUGAAUCUCGGUAUUGUCUGUACAGGAUAGGUGGGAGACUUGGAAACUUGGGCGUCAGCCUGAGUGGAGUCAUCCUUGGGAUACCACCCUGACAGUACUGGGGUUCUAACCGGCGGCCAUGAAUCUGGUCACGGGACAUUGUUAGGUGGGCAGUUUGACUGGGGCGGUCGCCUCCUAAAAAGUAACGGAGGCGCCCAAAAGUUCCCUCAGCGCGGUCGGAAAUCGCGCGAAGAGUGCAAAGGCAGAAGGGAGCUUGACUGCGACACAUACAGGUGGAGCAGGGACGAAAGUCGGGCUUAG